AACGAACGCUGGCGGCAGGCCUAACACAUGCAAGUCGAGCGGGGGAGCAAUCCCUAGCGGCGGACGGGUUAGUAACGCGUGGGAACGUGCCCAAAGGUACGGAAUAGCCUCGGGAAACUGAGGGUAAUACCGUAUGUGCCCUACGGGGGAAAGAUUUAUCGCCUUUGGAUCGGCCCGCGUUGGAUUAGGUAGUUGGUGGGGUAAUGGCCUACCAAGCCGACGAUCCAUAGCUGGUUUGAGAGGAUGAUCAGCAACACUGGGACUGAGACACGGCCCAGACUCCUACGGGAGGCAGCAGUGGGGAAUCUUAGACAAUGGGGGAAACCCUGAUCUAGCCAUGCCGCGUGAGCGAUGAAGGCCUUAGGGUUGUAAAGCUCUUUCAGCUGGGAAGAUAAUGACGGUACCAGCAGAAGAAGCCCCGGCUAACUCCGUGCCAGCCGCCGCCGUAAGAC
rnacentral:rRNA from 1 species